rnacentral:lncRNA from 1 species
AAUGGAUAAAAAUGAUAAAGAUAAGUAUAUACUUGAGUGUGUCAAAAAUAAUUGUUACAACUAGUAUUUAUAGAACUCUAAUUGUGCCACGUUCACGACCCACACACAUUAUCAUGGCUAACAACACACAAAUUAGUUGAGUUACAACCCAAAAUCACUUGCUUCGACUGGUAGAUUAAUUGUUCGUUGUCCACAUUCUCCAUAUCGCCCUAUCUUUAAAGGAGUGGAUGUAGUUAAACUUAUAUCUUGCCUAAUCAGAAGAGUUGAGUCAAAAUCCACUAUUUCAGCUAACUGUGGUCAUGUUCUCACAUCUAGGGUGUUCGCGGUGCGGUUUGGAUCGGUUUUGAGGUAAAAUGUCAACCGAUUCAAAUAAAAAUCACAUGCGGUUCGGUUCGGUUUGGAUGAGUAUUCUAAAAAAAUUCGAACCAAACCGAUCCAAUUAUAUGCGGUUUAAUUUGGAUCGGUUUUUGGAUGUCCAAAAUGCAAAAUAUAUUUUAAGGAAUAAUUUUUCUUUAUUAAUAUUAAUAUUACAGAAACAGGGUAAAAUAAUAGGUUUGAUGCAAAAUAUAUUAAAAAAGAUAAAAUUAUAGUAUGAAAAUUAUCGAUUAUUUUUUAAACAUAUGAAGUAAUAAUAAUAUAGAUUAAAUUAGUGCAAUAUAAGAUUAAAAUUUAACAAACAACAUAAUAAUGCAAUAUAUAAUACUAAUAAAAGAAUAAAUAAGUAUUAAUAUUUAUUUUUGCGGUUCGGUUCGGUUUGGUUCGGUUUUGAAAAAGUGAUCCAAAAUCCGAUCCGAUCUUAGCGGUUUUUACAAAACAACAUCCAAACGCAUCCAAAUAUAUUCGGUUUUUUGCGGUUUUCGGUUUUUUUAGAUCGAUUUGCGGUUUUAGUUUGGAUCGGUUUGGAUUUGAACACCCCACAUCCUAAGGGAGUAAUCUUCCCUCAAUUACACUCACAGUUAUAAAAUAGAGUGUAUGUGUCAUUAAGACAUAUAUCUUAGGAGAAGUGUGCCAUUUAACAAAAUGUAGCUUCUCUGAGACUCCGACAGUAACAAGUGGUGAGGGAUUGUGUAUUUCAAAGUAAAAC